CCUCCGGGUGGCAGCAGUGAGGAAUAUUGGUCAAUGGACGAGAGUCUGAACCAGCCAAGUAGCGUGAAGGAUGACUGCCCUAUGGGUUGUAAACUUCUUUUAUAUGGGAAUACAAUGUUCCACGUUUGCGUUUUUGUAUGUACCAUAUGAAUAAGGAUCGGCUAACUCCGUGCCAGCAGCCGCGGUAAUACGGAGGAUCCGAGCGUUAUCCGGAUUUAUUGGGUUGAAAGGGAGCGUAGAUGGAUUGUUAAGUCAGUUGUGAAAGUUUGCGGCUCAACCGUAAAAUUGCAAUUGAAACUGGCAGGCUUGAGUACAGUAGAGGUAGGCGGAAUUCGUGGUGUAGCGGUGAAAUGCUUAGAUAUCACGAAGAACUCCGAUUGCGAAGGCAGCUUACUGGACUGCAACUGACAGUGAGGCUCGAAAGUGUGGGUAUCAAACAGGAUUAGAUACCCGGGUAGUC
rnacentral:rRNA from 1 species